AUUUGGAUGACUGUACGUAAAAAAGCAGAUUAUUUCGCUUUCAUUGGUCGCAUGAUUUUCCUGUAUAAUUUUACUUAACAUCCUGAUAUAAAUCUAUGGCUUGUGAUUUGAUCAACAAAUAUUACGAAUCAUGUUAAUUUGAAGCCGGUGAGCAUAUUUGAUAAGCUCUAGGAUUUUGCCUGUGGUAGAAUGAUUUCUAAAUAAGGAAGAUGUCAUUUUUGCAGGAAAACACUUUACUAAACAUAUAUCAAUAAUGAAUAUAUAUAUUAGCGGGUAUAUUAGCUCAUCUUAAUAAAAAAACGUCGUACGUCAGCAUCACGUGUUUCAUAACGACCAAUCAAAUGAUUCCAGGUUCAUAGAAUGGACCUAUUUAUAGGGAGCAUUCCUGUCGCUCAACACUCACUUAUUACAGGAUCAAAGAAAGCACCUUCUUCUUACCAGGAAGUAGUCAGAGGAAAGUAAUUAUGAAAAUCACAUGUGUGCUAGUGAUUUUGUUGUCAUCCUACUUUUGGUCAGCGGACAGUUAUUCAUGGAGACCACAUAGUUUUGACUUUGGAGGAAACUAUGAUUCCACUGGAUAUGGUCGUUUCAAUGGGAGAUAUACAUACUCUUGGGACAACACUGGAUCCUUC
rnacentral:lncRNA from 1 species